rnacentral:rRNA from 1 species
AGCGAACGCUGGCGGCAGGCUUAACACAUGCAAGUCGAGCGGGCCCUUCGGGGUCAGCGGCAGACGGGUGAGUAACACGUGGGAACGUACCCUUUGGUUCGGAAUAACGCUGGGAAGCUAGCGCUAAUACCGGAUACGCCCUUUUGGGGAAAGGCUUGCUGCCGAAGGAUCGGCCCGCGUCUGAUUAGCUAGUUGGUGGGGUAAUGGCCUACCAAGGCGACGAUCAGUAGCUGGUCUGAGAGGAUGAUCAGCCACACUGGGACUGAGACACGGCCCAGACUCCUACGGGAGGCAGCAGUGGGGAAUAUUGGACAAUGGGCGCAAGCCUGAUCCAGCCAUGCCGCGUGAGUGAUGAAGGCCUUAGGGUUGUAAAGCUCUUUUGUCCGGGACGAUAAUGACGGUACCGGAAGAAUAAGCCCCGGCUAACUUCGUG